UCCACUGUAAUCACUACACUGGGGAGG
rnacentral:piRNA from 1 species